UACGAAGGGGGCGAGCGUUGUUCGGAUUUACUGGGCGUAAAGGGCGCGCAGGCGGCGCAUUUUGUCAGGCGUGAAAGCCCCGGGCUUAACCUGGGAACUGCGUUUGAUACUCUGAGACUGGAGUACGGGAGAGGAGAGUGGAAUUCCCAGUGUAGAGGUGAAAUUCGUAGAUAUUGGGAAGAACACCAGUGGCGAAGGCGGCUCUCUGGACCGUAACUGACGCUGAGGCGCGAAAGCGUGGGGAGCAAACAGG
rnacentral:rRNA from 1 species